CUCGGGGUAGAGAUGGCGAACCUGGUACCCCUGGAAACCCCGGACCCCCAGGGCCCCCGGGUCCCCCAGGGCCUCCUGGGCUUGGUGGAAACUUUGCUGCUCAGAUGGCGGGAGGAUUCGAUGAGAAGGCUGGUGGUGCUCAGUUGGGUGUGAUGCAGGGACCUAUGGGACCUAUGGGACCGCGAGGACCUCCAGGACCAUCGGGAACUCCUGUAAGUACUUGCUCUUUCAGGAGCGAUCUGUCUCGUUGGGGGUAAAAUAACAUAGUGAAUAUAUAGAGCGCCAUUGUUGAGAUGGCUAAUGAGCCUCCUUUGCUGUAUGUUGCAGGGCCCUCAAGGAUUUCAAGGCAGCCCUGGAGAGCCUGGGGAACCUGGAGCUUCUGUGAGUAACCAGCAGCUUCGCUUUUGGCCAAAGAAGCCGUGACAUGGCACAAAU
rnacentral:lncRNA from 1 species